AGGCUUAACACAUGCAAGUCGAGGGGCAUCAGGAAGAAAGCUUGCUUUCUUUGCUGGCGACCGGCGCACGGGUGAGUAACACGUAUCCAACCUGCCCUUUACUCGGGGAUAGCCUUUCGAAAGAAAGAUUAAUACCCGAUGGCAUAAUGAUUCCGCAUGGUUUCAUUAUUAAAGGAUUCCGGUAAAGGAUGGGGAUGCGUUCCAUUAGGUUGUUGGUGAGGUAACGGCUCACCAAGCCUUCGAUGGAUAGGGGUUCUGAGAGGAAGGUCCCCCACAUUGGAACUGAGACACGGUCCAAACUCCUACGGGAGGCAGCAGUGAGGAAUAUUGGUCAAUGGGCGCUAGCCUGAACCAGCCAAGUAGCGUGAAGGAUGAAGGCUCUAUGGGUCGUAAACUUCUUUUAUAUAAGAAUAAAGUGCAGUAUGUAUACUGUUUUGUAUGUAUUAUAUGAAUAAGGAUCGGCUAACUCCGUGCCAGCAGCCGCGGUAAUACGGAGGAUCCGAGCGUUAUCCGGAUUUAUUGGGUUUAAAGGGAGCGUAGGUGGACUGGUAAGUCAGUUGUGAAAGUUUGCGGCUCAACCGUAAAAUUGCAGUUGAUACUGUCAGUCUUGAGUACAGUAGAGGUGGGCGGAAUUCGUGGUGUAGCGGUGAAAUGCUUAGAUAUCACGAAGAACUCCGAUUGCGAAGGCAGCUCACUGGACUGCAACUGACACUGAUGCUCGAAAGUGUGGGUAUCAAACAGGAUUAGAUACCCUGGUAGUCCACACAGUAAACGAUGAAUACUCGCUGUUUGCGAUAUACAGUAAGCGGCCAAGCGAAAGCAUUAAGUAUUCCACCUGGGGAGUACGCCGGCAACGGUGAAACUCAAAGGAAUUGACGGGGGCCCGCACAAGCGGAGGAACAUGUGGUUUAAUUCGAUGAUACGCGAGGAACCUUACCCGGGCUUAAAUUGCAGUGGAAUGAUGUGGAAACAUGUCAGUGAGCAAUCACCGCUGUGAAGGUGCUGCAUGGUUGUCGUCAGCUCGUGCCGUGAGGUGUCGGCUUAAGUGCCGUAACGAGCGCAACCCUUAUCUUUAGUUACUAACAGGUCAUGCUGAGGACUCUAGAGAGACUGCCGUCGUAAGAUGUGAGGAAGGUGGGGAUGACGUCAAAUCAGCACGGCCCUUACGUCCGGGGCUACACACGUGUUACAAUGGGGGGUACAGAAGGCAGCUAGCGGGUGACCGUAUGCUAAUCCCAAAAUCCUCUCUCAGUUCGGAUCGAAGUCUGCAACCCGACUUCGUGAAGCUGGAUUCGCUAGUAAUCGCGCAUCAGCCACGGCGCGGUGAAUACGUUCCCGGGCCUUGUACACACCGCCCGUCAAGCCAUGGGAGCCGGGGGUACCUGAAGUACGUAACCGCAAGGAUCGUCCUAGGGUAAAACUGGUGACUGGGGCUAAGU
rnacentral:rRNA from 1 species